ACUACGUAUUUCAGCACCCGAAGGACUAACAACCCAGCCGGCAUCUGCAGCGUAUAUCCAACGUGAUCAAACUUCACUCUGACAAGUAACUUCCUAUACACAACCACGCCGUCCUUUCGCCCGGACCAGCCCCGCACUCUUUCCGCCCGCUACCUAGCGGUCGCCGGAUCAGCAGAGCCUGCGGACUCUUCGGAGGCUGGUCUUCGUUGUGCUGCCCAAGGCGGAAGUUGACUCGCCCGAAAAUCGACCCUUUCAGUAACUUCUACCUUCUCUCUUUAUAUCCUCCUCCCAGGCGUGGGGAGCCUGGGAGGAGGAUAUAACAGCUGUGCCUUGUUUCAGCGAGUGCAGGGAUUCCCGGGGAACCCUGAAGUGCCGGUGUCUGUACAAACCGGUCCGGGCGGAACCUCUUCACUCUCCUUUUGGUUCCGCCCCGCAUAGUCACUCCGUGACAACUGUUUGCGUUUUUUUUUCUCCUCAAUGUUCAAUACCCUUUUGCCAUUAAGCACACAGUGACUUUAAUUUAUAAAAUAUAUGCUUAAGUUUUAAUACCUGUACAAAACAAAUGUACAAUCAACUUGUGUAAAUUUUAAUAAAAAUUUAAGCUUUAAUUGCUUGUUCAUGUUAGUUCAGAGUGCAUUAACUAAUGUUAACAAGAUUUUAAUAAAGUAAUUGUUGAAAUUAACAUUAACAAAGAUUAAUAAAGGCUGUAUAAGUGCAGUUCAUUAUUAGUUCAUGUUAACUAAUGUAGCUAACUAAUGUUAACUAAUGAACCUUAUUGUAAAGUGUUACCGUGAUUUCUUUUCAUCAUUUCAGACACAUGUAAAAGUUACUAAAAAUUAAUACUGCAUAUACUGUACAGUAUCUAUGCGUAAGGGAAAUAACUUAAACUAAAUUUUUAAUGUAUAGUGUAAUUAAGAGUUUAGCUGUUUAAUACAGAGAUGCAAUUUAUUUAUAUAUAUUAUUUAUAUAUAAACGUAUGUAUGUUUAUUAAAAAGUGAAAAUGCUUAAUGGAAAUAAUUAAAUAACUAAAUGGUUGAAUGUAAUGAGACAUUUUAAAUGUAAACUAAAGUUUUGCUGUCUAAUACAGAAUAAAGAGAUGUGAUUUUAAGUAA